ensembl:lncRNA
CAGCGCAUUGGCAUUAGUGUAUUGGUGAUUAAAUUAUAGUGCUGAAAUACCUAAUUUAUGUAUCUGGUGUGACAGAUUUUAAGGCGAAAGCCAUAGCCAUACCAACUGGCAGCGGAGAGCUCCUCCCCUGCUCUCAUACUGGGAAUAUACAUGUGCAUAUAAACACUGCAGAACAGAUUGCUGGAUCAGUUUAUCAAGGCACUUCAUCAGGCAGUCCAGGCAGCUGGAAUACUGGAAUAUUGCAUGCUCACACACACAUACACACACACACGCACAAAGUGCAUAACAUUUGCAUAUCAACUCUUGCAGGAAUUGAAGACUCUGAUUUGAAGGUUGCUCCGGUUUGAACAAAACCUAAGUCAAGAUGGGGAAUGAAGCGUCUUACGAAAUGCAGGACCAUAAAGAGGUCAACGGAAAGCUCCAGAAUGGGGGCUUGAAUGGCCACGCUGUGAGCAUCUCUUUGAAGGAGGAACCCAAUGAAAUGGCUGUACAACAGUUCAAUGUCCUCCCCACUCCUCCUAUCGCAAAGGACACAGCCCCCACGGCAGCAAGCGAGCCAGACGGUUUGAAAGCACCCAGCAGCACCCCCCAGGUUCAGCCAUCUCCAAACAAGCCAGAUCCACCCUCUUCUAAAGCCCCAGAGAACCCAUCAUCUGAACUGGUCAACACGGAGGUGCCCACAGAGGGGCAGAGCAGCACCCAGCCACCUCAUGCCUCAGACCCUGAGGAGGAACCCAAGCCUGCCCCUGAGGCCAAGGUUCCCCUCUUCAACAAGCUUUUCAAGAAGAAAACAGAGGACAAGGUUCUGAAGGAUGUGCCUACAGUGCAGCUUGAAGUCUCUGAAGGGGAGAAGCCUGUUGUGAUGACAGUCACCAUAGAUGGCCUCCAGAGUGCGCCCGGACGCACCAAGGAGAAAGCGGCCACGACCAAGGGUUCGAACGGCCUCAGUGGCACGCCAGUGGGAAGCGAAGCCCCCGGCGCCAACGGUGAGAGCGUUCAGGCAGAGGAGACCAAAGAGGGCAAGAGUAUCGUAGAGGAGAACCCAGUAAUGAACUUCUUCAAAACGUUUACAAAGGGCCCUAAGGAGCCUGAGGGCAAGACCAAGCUGGAGAAAGGGUCCCCAGCGAAGGAAGCAGUCCCAUCUGCAACAGAGCCCAAAGAUCUGGAGCCCAGUCCAAAGGACUCUACAGGCGGGGCCUUCAGCAAACUCUUCCGACAGAAGGGCGUACAGGAAGUAGAUGCUGCUACCGCUGCAAAGACUGCGAAGACGGUGCCUCCACCAGAGCCACCCAAAGCUGAAACCAAAGCAGAACCAGCUGCUAAAAACAUCCAGAAAGAGGGGCUCAAAGACGUGCCAAGUGGCCCGGAAACGUCCGCCAAGAAGCCUUCUAAAGGUGGCCGCUUCUCCAAACUUUUUAGUUCUAAAACGGCCGCUUCGAAGGCCAGUACCCUAGAGGCCACUCCACCACCAGAGCAGCCCCCGAAACCAAUGGAGAAAAAGAAAUCUAAUCUCAUCUCCAUUUUCAAGACCAAGGCCCCUGAGGCCACAAAGGAAACCCCCCCUGAGGCUCCACCGCUGCCGGAGGCUGCACCCAGCGCCAAGGCGAAAGAGGAGCCCAAGCCCCCCGCAGAGGCCGAGAAGAAGAAGAGCGGCAAGCAGGAGGCUGCCCCUAAAGCCAAGGCUCCUGAGGUCACCGCCGACAACAAGUUGGUGUCUGAGGCCUUGCCAGGUGGAGAUGAUGUUGUCCCCAGUGUCACCAAGAAGCUUGAGAAGAGGAACUCAAUCCAUUUGUUCUUCAAAAGUUUGGUAGGCCAAACCACCUAGAUUUCUGACCCUCUGACAUACUUUCUGUAGUCGUCGUUACAAUUUCAGAAUAGACCUGGGUCCCUAAGUUUCAUUUUAUAUGUAUAGAAACAUGAAAAACAUACAUUAAAUAUGUUAUAUGUUUUAUACACUGUAUACAGGUGGUCCCCGACUUAUGAUGGGGUUAUGUUCCGCAAAACCUAUUGUAAGUCAAAAAUAUUCUAAGUCGAAAAUACAUUUAAUACACCUAACGUACCGAACAUCAUAGCCUAGCAUACAUGCGAUGGCCAUUAUGGGCUUGCAGCCUUCAUGUUGAGCAAUUAUCUUGAGUUUCUCCUCAAGAGUAAUUGCCCUCCUCUUCUUGCCACCAGUAGCAGGAGACACAGAUGGACAUUUCUGUGAUAUUAUGGAUGCACAAAACACAGUGUAGACACAAGGGGGUAUGUGUUUAGUGACUGCGUGACAGACUUGGAGAUGCGGAUCGCUGCCUCUGCCCAGCAUCGUGAGAGAGUAUCCCACUGCAUAUUGCUUGCCCAGGAAAAAAAAUCAAAAUUCAAAAUCCGAAGUAAGGUUUCUGCUGACUGUCUAUCGCCAGCUCACCAUCGUAAAGUCGAAAAAUUGUAAGUCGAACCAUCGUAAGUCGAGGAGCAUCUGUAUAGUAUUAACUAAAAUUUAAAUUACGCAUGUAUAUUACCAGUAACUGUUGUGUUCUACUUGCUGAUG